rnacentral:rRNA from 1 species
UACGGGGGGGGCAAGCGUUGUUCGGAAUUACUGGGCGUAAAGGGCUCGGAGGUGGCCAACUAAGUCAGACGUGAAAUCCCUCGGCUUAACCGGGGAACUGCGUCUGAUACUGGAUGGCUUGAAUUCGGGAGAGGGAUGCAGGAUUCCAGGUGUAGCGGUGAAAUGCGUAGAUAUCUGGAGGAAUACCGGUGGCGAAGGCGGCAUCCUGGACCGACAUUGACGCUGAGGAGCGAAAGCCAGGGGAGCAAACGGG